rnacentral:lncRNA from 1 species
CCGGCCGCCCCGUCUGAGAAGUGAGGAGACCCUCUGCCUGGCAACCACCCCGUCUGAGAAGUGAGGAGCCUCUCCGCCCGGCAGCCACCCCAUCUGGGAAGUGAGGAGCGUCUCCGCCCGGCAGCCACCCCGUCCGGGAGGGAGGUGGGGGGGGGGGGGGUCAGCCCCCCCGCCCGGCCAGCCGUGCCAUCCGGGAGGGAGAUGGGGGGGUCAGCCCCCCGCCUGGCCAGCCGCCCCGUCCGGGAGGGAGGUAGGGGGGUCAGCCCCCCGCCUGGCCAGCCGCCCCGUCCGGGAGGGAGGUGGGGG